rnacentral:lncRNA from 1 species
GUUGUGCCAUAAACCGCGCACGGUGUGUACGCGAGUGCCAGCGUAGGCCGUCAGUCUUUCAGCGGCCGUGAGAGCGGGUGCACGAGUCGCUCCGUUUUCUUCACAGAAAAUGUGAAGCUGCAUUAGUUUCUGGUGAAACGCUCUUGUGUUGAUAACCAGAAAUCCAAGUGACUUCGCGCGAGACAAAAGGAAAAUAGUCGACUAGAGUAAACAAGAGAAAAUCCAGUGAAUUACUUUAGGGAAAGUAGAGAUCACACGCAUUGCCAAACAAAACGGAUAUGGAAAGAAAGACAAAAUAGAAUAAGUCAGAGAGAGCGAGAGAAGCAAAGAAAACCAAGGAAACAAUCCAACCGAUUACCUCAAACCGUCCCUAAAGAAAAGAAAAGUAUCAUACAUAAAAAAAGAACCAAAAAAAAGUUAAAAGUUAACAAACCCCCCAAAAAAAAGUUAACAAACCCAAGACGAAAUAAAAAGGGGAAAAAAGGCGGGAAAAGUCUCCGAGGCGAGCGGUCGCUUUGCCUCGCCGUCCGCCAAUGGGUUGCCAAAUCACCAAAUCCUCCAAGAGCAAGGAAGACAAUGAGGGAAUCCCCGACAUCCCCGAGCCCCCGCCCCCCGACCCGCGCCUCCCCUUGACGGCCAAGCAAAAGUUCAACAUCAUCAAAUCCUGGAAGGGCAUCGCCAGAGCCAUCGAGCCCACGGGCGUCUACAUGUUUGUCAAGUGAGUUCCUCGUGAGGUCCGCGUCGUGUCUUUGAUGGAAGCUGCUCAGUGUUGUAAGUGUAAAAGAAACCUGCUUUUAUUUUUUUUUUACACAUUUAGAUACACGCACAUAUAAACAUACAAGCACACGAGCA